CUCUCCAAAAGGGUGUGUAUAUAUAUAUAUAUAGAUGACUAAGUAGUCAUUUUCACCUUUAAACUUGGCCAAAAAUGGAGAGCAAAAACAUGAGAGCAAGACAGAGGCAGCCACGAGUUGCUCCAAUUUAAGGUAAGCCCUCCGAUUUCUUUCUGUGAAUUAAUUAUUUAAGGUAUUACACGGCUAAAUGAUGGGGUUUAAUAGCAUAAAAUUACUAUUUGGGGAAGCAAAGAAGGGACACGAACAGUCCAUAACUUUCAGCAUGUUAAGGAGGUUCCGAAGUUAAUUUUCAGCAAGUUUGGGAAUCUGUUUGUUAAGCACAAAAUGGAGAGCAAACAGCCACAACAUUUCAGCCGCAAUUAAGGAACUUCCGAGGAGAGUUUUGGCAAGCUUUGGCCAAUUUCGGGUAAGGUUCAAGAGACGACAAGGCGAACGUAUUAAGAGUAAUCCGUAAGAGGUAUGUAAAGCUAACAUUUCCUUCUUUUGUCAUGUUUUUGGCAUAAGUAUGUAAGGCUUAGACUUUCUUUUGGCAUGUCUUUCGGCAUAAGUGUAUUAAGCUUAUUCUAUCUCUUGGCAUGUUUUGGACACAAAUAUGUAAAGCUAAUCUUCUUUAUUGACAUGGUUUUUAUGAAGUAAGAAAAUGACUUUUAUAUGAUUCCAAGAAAGUUCCUAUUCGUAGAGCUGCUAGGAUGGCCAACUUCUUGAUUUUUCAAAAGAUAUUUGUUAUUCCUUGAUAUGUGUAUAUGAUUCCCAAAAGUUCUAUUUCGAUAUAACCCAUAGUAACUUUCAAAAGGUCCUUGA